rnacentral:lncRNA from 1 species
GGGACUUCCGGCCUCGCUGGCGUGGACGUUUGUGGUGGGGCGUGUUGGUCCGCGCUCUCAGAACUGUGCUGGGAAGGAUGGUAGGGCGACUGGGGCUCACCUCCGCACCGUUGUAGGACCCGGGGUAGGGUUUUGAGCCCGUGGGAGCUGCCCCACGCGGCCUCGUCCUGCCAACGGUCGGAUGGCGGAGACGAAGGACGCAGCGCAGAUGUUGGUGACCUUCAAGGAUGUGGCUGUGACCUUUACCCGGGAGGAGUGGAGACAGCUGGACCUGGCCCAGAGGACCCUGUACCGAGAGGUGAUGCUGGAGACCUGUGGGCUUCUGGUUUCACUAGGGCAUCGGGUUCCCAAACCAGAGUUGGUCCACCUGCUAGAGCAUGGGCAGGAGCUGUGGAUAGUGAAGAGAGGCCUCUCACAUGCUACCUGUGCAGGUGACAGAGCACAAGUUCAUACCAGAGAGCCAACCACUUACCCGCCAGUCUUAUCUGAGCGGGCCUUUCUCCGGGGAAGCCUGACUCUGGAAUCUUCAACCUCAAGUGAUUCGAGGUUGGGGAGAGCUAGGGAUGAGGAAGGGCUUUUGGAAAUGCAGAAAGGUAAAGUGACACCGGAGACAGACCUCCACAAGGAGACCCAUCUUGGGAAAGUGAGCCUUGAAGGUGAAGGUUUGGGGACAGAUGAUGGUCUGCACUCCAGGGCAUUACAAGAGUGGUUAUCAGCAGAUGUUCUCCAUGAAUGUGACUCACAGCAACCAGGGAAAGACGCCUUGAUUCAUGCAGGGACAAACCCCUACAAAUGCAAGCAGUGUGGGAAAGGUUUUAACAGGAAGUGGUAUCUCGUUCGACAUCAGAGGGUUCACACUGGAAUGAAACCCUAUGAAUGCAAUGCAUGUGGGAAAGCCUUUAGCCAGAGCUCAACUCUCAUUCGGCACUACCUCAUCCACACCGGGGAGAAACCAUACAAGUGCCUUGAGUGUGGGAAGGCCUUCAAACGCAGGUCGUACCUCAUGCAGCACCAUCCAAUCCACACUGGAGAGAAACCCUAUGAGUGUAGUCAAUGUCGAAAGGCCUUCACCCACCGGUCUACUUUUAUUCGCCAUAAUAGGACCCACACUGGAGAAAAGCCCUUUGAGUGCAAAGAAUGUGAGAAAGCCUUUAGCAAUAGAGCCCACCUAAUUCAACAUUACAUCAUCCACACUGGAGAGAAGCCCUAUGAUUGCAUGGCAUGUGGAAAGGCCUUCAGAUGCAGCUCAGAACUCAUACAGCACCAGCGGAUUCACACUGGGGAGAAGCCCUAUGAAUGCACCCAGUGUGGGAAAGCCUUUCACCGGAGCACGUACCUCAUUCAGCACUCUGUCAUCCACACUGGGGAGAUGCCCUACAAGUGUAUCGAGUGUGGGAAGGCCUUCAAACGCAGGUCACACCUUCUGCAGCACCAAAGGGUCCAUACAUGAGAGAACCCUAUUGCUGCAAUGAAUACAGCAAGGCCUUUACCCACUGUUAUUUUAUCAUUCAUAAUGGGACCCACACUGUAGGAAGAAGUCCUUCGAAUGCAAAGAAUGUCAGGAAACUUUUCAUUUUUUUUGUCAGCUCUUUCUUAACUAACACAUGAGCAGUCACUUUGGAGAGAAGCCCUGUGAAUACAGUGAAUGUAAGGAUCCCUUCAGUCACCACUCAGUUCUCACUCAUUGCAGAAGGAUUCAUACCAGGGGGAAAUGUGGAAGGCAUUCCAUCAACAUCAGAGAACUCAUGCUGGAGAAAGACAUUCCAAAUAUAACUAUUAAGGACAGUCUUUGGCCAGAGCAGAAAUCUUACUAUCUGAGAAUCAUAAUGAAAAGUUACUACAUAAUUGUUAUUGAUGUGAGAAAACUUUGUGACCAGGUUGUCACUUGCUUGUCCUAUAAAGAGCCAUGCUGGAAUUUGACCCACCUUGGGAUUUUCUCUAUGAACUUAUGAAAACCUUCAGUUACAGGACAGAGUGCACAGUUUCCUCUCCUGUGGGAAGGAGAGUUGACUCUUGAGGACCCCCACCCUCCUGCAUCCUCUCUCUGGAAGGCUGCAUGUAUUGUAGCUGUGGCUGUACUUGUACCUAAGGCCCUGGGUUCAAGAGAGUUGGAGAAACCCCUCUAGAAACAUAUUGGCUGUCAUCAAAGGGUUCUUUCCAGGCCUGAGGACCUAGGCCCCAGUUUGUCCCAAAGCAGGAGUGUUUUCCAUGGGAUAAAGGACACCCUAGGUUUUUCUUAGCUUCCAGCUCUUUCCAUACAGUCUUCACUGAAGUGUUUGGUACAAGGAUCUACUAUGAACUUGCUGCUGUGAUAGAAAAACUGCUUAAGGUUGAAAAGAGAAAUUUAAGAAAUUGCUGACGGAAUAAAAACAUAAUAGAACUACAACACCGAAGGAAAUGAAAGAAGCAAGAAGGAAAGCACCAGAAGUGAUUUGGAAGAGAAAUCCUAAAAUGAAUGUGAACAACAGAGUGAUCAGAAGAGUGUAGGGAAUUAAUAGUUUCUUUAAACAAGCCAUCUCACAAUGGAAGCCUGUGUGUCUUGAAAUUGCUGUGGUUAUUAUUCACUCUGCCCUUUGAAGAACUGCAGAAAUUCAUAGGGCAAUGUUAAGUGUUUGUGUCUCCAAAAAAGAUGUUGGAGUCGUUACCCUCAGAACCUCAGGUAAUCAUGUUAGUUAAUCCAUUAGGUUAGUUCCUAAUUGACUAUGACUGUGUCCUUAGAAAAAUGGGAAAUUUGGUCACAGAGGCAGAUGUACAGAGGGAAGACGAUGUGAAGACACAGGAAGAACAUCUUCAAGCCAAGGAACACACGGGGCUACCAGAAGCCGAGAUAGAAGCAUGGAACAUAUGUUCUAGUAAGAAGUGUCUGGGUUGUUUUGGUUUUUUUUCUUUGGAGUUUUUGUGGUAUUAAAUUAUUUUUAAAUUAUGUUUUAUUGUAGACCUCACAAUUCUUUUUUUUUCUUUUUCACUCAAACUACAGCAAAAUAUUAUAUUUCUAUCCUAUAUUUCAUGGGCUUACCUCUAGCCAAUUGUUUUUAACUGCCAUGUAAUAUUUUACAUCAUGAAGCUUUCAUCCUUGAUUCAAAUCCUCUGAUUAUGGACAUGUAUUUCCUCCAUUUUCCUGCUAUGAAAUAUAUCACCACCAGCUUGAUUCAACCUUAAAAAUAAGGUCAUCAGUAUUAUGUUCUAAAUAAACUUAUGGCCAUACAUGAGAAAUGUACCUUGCAGCUGAAUGGCUAGGUCAUAUGGUGAUCUAGUAUGUAACUGGAAUUAUGUUAUACAUUGCCCUUCCUCUCCCAUAAGAUGGACAAAAGUGUUUCUGUAUCACUGUGUCCCAGACAAUAUUUAGAAUUACCCAGCUUUCCAGUUUUUACUUUAGAAGUUUAAAGUGAUAUAGAAUAUAUCUGGUAUUUCUCAUAUUGAAAUACAUUUGAACAUUAGUUCAUAUCCUUUCAUUGCCUUUUGUUUUUCCUCUUCUGUCAAUGGUCUACUCAUAUGUUGGCCUGUCUUUAUUUGUAUCUUGACUUUUUAUUGUGUAUUUUGUUUAUGGUGGGGUACUUUAUUGGUGAUUAAUACGAUUUUCAAGUAUAUUAUAUGGGCUAGUCCCUUGAUACUAUUGACACUGUAUUUAUCUUCAGUCUCUUGUUGGUAUCUAACUUUGGUUCUGAAGUUUAUGGAAUGGAAGUAUUUAAUUGGAAAGAUUAAACAUAUUGAUUUUAAUU